rnacentral:rRNA from 1 species
AGUGAACGCUGGCGGUAGGCCUAACACAUGCAAGUCGAACGGCAGCACAGUAAGAGCUUGCUCUUACGGGUGGCGAGUGGCGGACGGGUGAGGAAUACAUCGGAAUCUACUUUUUCGUGGGUGAUAACGUAGGGAAACUUACGCUAAUACCGCAUACGACCUACGGGUGAAAGCAGUGGAUCUUCGGACCUUGCGCGAUUGAAUGAGCCGAUGUCGGAUUAGCUAGUUGGCGUGGUAAAGGCCCACCAAGGCGACGAUCCGUAGCUGGUCUGAGAGGAUGAUCAGCCACACUGGAACUGAGACACGGUCCAGACUCCUACGGGAGGCAGCAGUGGGGAAUAUUGGACAAUGGGCGAAAGCCUGAUCCAGCCAUACCGCGUGGGUGAAGAAGGUCUUCGGGUUGUAAAGCCCUUUUGUUGGGAAAGAAAAGCAGCAGGUUAAUACCCCGCUGUUCUGACGGUACCCAAAGAAUAAGCACCGGCUAACUUCGUG